rnacentral:lncRNA from 1 species
UGGCUGUGUGACAUUCAGAAACGUUCUGAGAGAGCCUCAGUUUCCUUCUUGGUAAAAUGAGAAGGUUUCUAGCAUUUCUGUAUAGCUGACCAGGGCCUUGGACUUCACCAGCUGACAAGGACCUUAGAGUUCAUCACCCCUUUUGAAUAAAAAGACUGAAAAACGUGGAAGUGACUUGCCUAAGGUCACACUGAUAGUAACUGGCAGAGUUGGAAUUCACACUCAGCUCUUCUGAUUCCAAAUUCGGUGUUCUUUCCAUUAUGAGAGUAUUCUGUUUGUGUAGAUGAGCUUGAAACUUCUCUUCUAGCUCUAAGAUUUUAUCUGGGAUGCUCUUUUCCAGGGUGGAGGAAGGGGGCGCUGUCUAAAACAACAACAACAACAAAAUGAAUACAUUUUGGCAAAGGGCCAGGUUAUGGCUUGGGGAGGAGGGAAGGAAAUGGAAGCGGAAGCAAAGGACUCUACCUCCUCCAAAGACAGAGCCCCUGGACCUUUGAAAAGGGACCCCUGGACUGCAGAAAUCUCCUUCCUGACUUCACCUGGCAGCAGUCCUGGGGCUCAGGGCCUCACCUCCCCGGGACUUGCUCCCUUUCCAAAGAGCUCAUUCUGAGGAGUUCUUCCUCAGAACUGAAGAACAAGGAAAAGAACAACUUUGUCUUGCUUCAGCAUUCUUCCUCAAGUCCAAGAUGGAAUAAACCUAGAAAUGUGGGCUUACUAUCCAAUAAUAAUGAUUGGCACAUACAUAACACUGUAAGAUAUAAUUUAAUAUAUAAUUUUAUUCAUCUUUUCAAUAACGUAUGACUAUAUUAUGUGUGCAUGGCCAAGGGGGUAUCAUUAUAAACAGUAUGGUACAGUGGAAGGAGUUUUCGACUGAGCAUCAGUAGAUCAGAGUAGAUCUAGU